rnacentral:tRNA from 1 species
GCUGUUGUAGCUCAGUUGGCAGAGCACGUCCUUGGUAAGGACGAGGUCGUGAGUUCGAGCCUCACCAAUAGCU